rnacentral:rRNA from 1 species
UACAGAGGUCCCAAGCGUUGUUCGGAUUCACUGGGCGUAAAGGAUGCGUAGGCGGACAUUUAAGUCAGAUGUGAAAUACCCGAGCUUAACUUGGGUGCUGCAUUUGAAACUGGGUGUCUAGAGUGCAGGAGAGGUAAGUGGAAUUCCUAGUGUAGCGGUGAAAUGCGUAGAGAUUAGGAAGAACACCAGUGGCGAAGGCGACUUACUGGACUGUAACUGACGCUGAGGCAUGAAAGCGUGGGGAGCAAACAGG